rnacentral:rRNA from 1 species
UACGUAGGUGGCAAGCGUUACUCGGAAUCACUAGGCGUAAAGCGCAGGUAGGCGGUUGGAUAAGUCUGUUGUGAAAGCUCCCCGGCUUAACUGGGAGAGGUCAACGGAAACUAUCCGGCUAGAGUGUGGUAGAGGAAGAUGGAAUUCCCGGUGUAGCGGUGAAAUGCGUAGAUAUCGGGAGGAAUACCUAUGGCGAAAGCAGUCUCUGGACCAUCACUGACGCUGAUCUGCGAAAGCUAGGGGAGCAAACAGG